GGUGAAAAUGGCGUAGAUAUAUGGAAGGAACACCCGGUGGGGGAAAGGCGGCUUUGUGGACUGUAACUGACCGCUGAGGCUUCGAAAAGCGUGGGGGAGCCAAACCAGGAAUUAGGAUUACCCUUGGUAGUUCCACGCCGUAAAACGAUGAGUUGCUUAGAUGUUUCGGGGGUAUCCACCCCUUGAGUGUCGCAGCUCAUGCAUUAAGCAUUCCGCCUGGGGAGUACGACCGCAAGGUUUGAAAACUCAAAGGAAUUGACGGGGGCCCGCACAAGCGGUGGAGCAGUGGUUUAAUUCGAAGCAACGCGAAGAACCUUACCAGGUCUUGACAUCCCUCUGAUCGCCCUAGAGAUAGGGUUUCCCUUCGGGGCAGAGGUGACAGGUGGUGCAUGGUUGUCGUCAGCUCGUGUCGUGAGAUGUUGGGUUAAGUCCCGCAACGAGCGCAACCCCUAUUGUUAGUUGCCAUCAUUAAGUUGGGCACUCUAGCGAGACCGCCGGUAAUAAACCGGAGGAAGGUGGGGAUGACGUCAAAUCAUCAUGCCCCUUAUGACCUGGGCUACACACGUGCUACAUGGGAAGUACAACGAGUCGCAAGCCGGUGACGGCAAGCUAAUCUCUUAAAGCUUCUCUCAGUUCGGAUUGUAGGCUGCAACUCGCCUACAUGAAGUCGGAAUCGCUAGUAAUCGCGGAUCAGCACGCCGCGGUGAAUACGUUCCCGGGCCUUGUACACACCGCCC
rnacentral:rRNA from 1 species